CAGCCGCCGCGGUAAUACGUAGGGGGCGAGCGUUGUCCGGAAUUAUUGGGCGUAAAGCGCGCGCAGGCGGUCCUUUAAGUCUGAUGUGAAAGCCCACGGCUCAACCGUGGAGGGUCAUUGGAAACUGGGGGACUUGAGUGCAGGAGAGGAGAGCGGAAUUCCACGUGUAGCGGUGAAAUGCGUAGAGAUGUGGAGGAACACCAGUGGCGAAGGCGGCUCUCUGGCCUGGAACUGACGCUGAGGCGCGAAAGCGUGGGGAGCAAACAGGAUUAGAUACCCUGGUAGUCCACGCCGUAAACGAUGAGUGCUAAGUGUUAGAGGGGUCACACCCUUUAGUGCUGGAGCUAACGCGAUAAGCACUCCGCCUGGGGAGUACGGCCGCAAGGCUGAAACUUAAAGGAAUUGGCGGG
rnacentral:rRNA from 1 species